rnacentral:lncRNA from 1 species
ACAGGGCAAACCUGACAUCUCUAGUUGGAGGAAGGGGUUUCUGAAAGAAGGCAAUGGUCAAACGACGUUCUUCUUCACCAAUUUUCCUGACGCAUUUCGUGUGAAGGAUAUGUGGAACGUCUUCUACAAUAUGGUCAUGUCACAAAGGUUUGCAUUCUUGAUAGGAGGGAUUGUUGGGGGUAAGCAUUUCAGAUUUGCAUGGUUUCAACAUGCGGAGGAUGCCAGAUCGAGUUUACGGGAUCAAACUUGACAACAUUUUCAUUGGCAGGAAAAAAAUUCAAGUCAAUUCUCCGAGGCAUGGUCAUGGUGUGGUGGAAGGGAAGAAUAUGAGGGAAUCUAAUGGUGGUGGAGUGAAACAACCUUUGCAAGUACAACGUGGUAACACUAUACAUGUUGUAAAUCCUAGGGCCACAUCUAACCCUUGGUUUACAAGGAGAAAGAAUUAGAUCAGUGUAGGGAGGAAGAAUGAAAAGGUUUAGUUUUCAAGACUGAUGAAGAUGCAAUCCAAUGUCUGACAAAGGCAUAUGUAGGACGAGUGGCAAAAUCGAGGAAAACAUAUAUAACACAACCAAAAUUACACACCGAGGGUGUUUUCCUCUUGGUGCUAAUUUGGUUUUAUUGGAUCUUGCAGACGAGUAUGAUAUAGCGGGUAUGGUGGCCACAAGGAAGGACUGUGUAGAGGAUUGGUUUGAUGAGAUUGUAGCUUGGAAUCCCCAUAUAUUGUUGAUAAUGAGCAUUUAGUCUGGAUGAAGUUAUAUGGAUUUCCUGUUCAUGUGUGGAUGAAUGAAUUUUUUAAGUUUUAAAAAUUGUUAUGGUGAUUUUAUGUAUGCAGAUAAAGUGACUACGAGUAGGUCACUGUGGAUUUUGCUAGAGUUUUAAUCAAGACCAAAGGUUAUAUGUCAAUUGAAGGUCUUCCCUCUGUUAAAAAUAAUGAUGAUCUUUUUCAUAUACGGAUGAUGGAAGAUUCCAUGGAUGAUAGGUCUUGGUGUUUAUAUUGUACACAUAAGGCUUCUUCCUCAUGGGAGACAAGUUCAGAUGAAGAUAAAUCUUGAAUUUGAAACUGAUGAGCACACAAUCGUGAAGGAAUGUAAUUGUGUGAUUGUGAAGGAAGUUAAUUGUGUGAUUCAAAUUCCAAAUCCCAGGAGUAACAAAGAGGCGAUAAGUAAUGUGAAUAAGGCGGGAUUCUCCCUGGAAGAUAUUUUUGAGGUACCAGAAUCAUCAGAGAAUGCAAAUUUGG